rnacentral:misc_RNA from 1 species
GAUGAAGAACGUAGCGAAAUGCGAUACUUGGUGUGAAUUGCAGAAUCCCGUGAACCAUCGAGUCUUUGAACGCAAGUUGCGCCCGAAGCCAUUAGGCCGAGGGCACGCCUGCCUGGGCGUCACACGUCGUUGCCCCCCCAUCUACUCCUUCGGGAUUGCGGGGGGCGGAUGAUGGCCUCCCGUGCGCCUCGUCGCGCGGUUGGCAUAAAUGCCAAGUCCUCGGCGACGCACGCCACGACAAUCGGUGGUUGCGAAACCUCGGUUGCCCGUCGUGUGCGGUCGUCGCGCAUCGAGGGCUCGAAAAAAUUGUCGGGCUCCGGCUCGGCUUUCAACGCGACCCCAGGUCAGGCGGGGCUACCCGCUGAGUUUAAGCAUAUCAAUAAGCGGAGGA